UGCGGUUAUACAAAAAUUAAAUUAAAUUUUUUAGGGUUUAAUAAAUAAAUUUAGGUUAAUAAUGUAAAUUUUAAAUUAUAAAGUGAAAUUUUAAUUUAAAUAAAAUUUAUUUAUUUUUAUGAUAUUAAUAAAUUUUAUAAAAAACUAGGAUUAGAUACCCUAUUAUAAAAAUUUAAAUGUAAUAAUCUUAAAAUAGUAUAUAAUUUUUUAUAGAAACUUAAAUAAUUUGGCGGUAUUUUAGUUCAUUUAGAGGAAUCUGUCUAAUAAUUGAUAAUCCACGAUUAAAUUUACUUAAUUUUUAAUUUUGUAUAUCGUUGUUAAAAAAAUAUUUUUUAAAAAAUAUAAUAUUUUAAAAUUUAAAAAAAAAAUUAAAUCAGAUCAAGAUGCAGAUUAUAAUUAAGAAUAUGAUGGAUUACAAUAAGUUUUAUUUAUUGGAUGUUAAUUUGGAAUAAAUUAAUUGAAAUUGGAUUUAAAUGUAAUUUUAUUUAUUUUAAUAAAAUGAUUUAAAAUUAAAAUAUGUACAUAUUGCCCGUCGCUUUCAUUUACAAGUUGAAAUAAGUCGUAACAAAGUAGAGGUACUGGAAAGUGUUUCUAGAAAGAU
rnacentral:rRNA from 1 species